ACGAACGCUGGCGGCAUGCCUAACACAUGCAAGUCGAACGGAUGGUCGCAAGACCAUUAGUGGCGGACGGGUGCGUAACGCGUGGGAACCUGCCUUGAAGUUCGGAAUAACUGCGGGAAACUGCAGCUAAUACCGGAUGUGGCCUGAGGGCCAAAGGGGAAACUCGCUUCAAGAGGGGCCCGCGUCCGAUUAGCUAGUUGGCGGGGUAACGGCCCACCAAGGCGAUGAUCGGUAGCUGGUCUGAGAGGACGACCAGCCACACUGGAACUGAGAUACGGUCCAGGCUCCUACGGGAGGCAGCAGUGGGGAAUAUUGGACAAUGGGGGCAACCCUGAUCCAGCAAUGCCGCGUGAGUGAUGAAGGCCUUCGGGUUGUAAAGCUCUUUUGGCGGGGACGAUGAUGACGGUACCCGGAGAAUAAGCCCCGGCUAACUUCGU
rnacentral:rRNA from 1 species